AUCCAUUUGUGUGGAUUAAAAUUGAAGGAAUCUGCCAACUCGGUGCCUUUCAUUAAAUAUCGGAAUUCCGAGCAAAUGAACGCUGAACCUAAGGAAGAAAAUAGUUCAGGAAUCGUUUCGUUAUCGCUAGGGGGAAUGUGCAUAAUGUGUGUUUGGAAAAGCUGUGUUAGUAUUGUAUGUAUACGAAUUUGCAUACGAAUACAAUGAACUUACGUAGAAUGGAA